rnacentral:rRNA from 1 species
GAUCAUGGCUCAGGGCGAACGCUGGCGGCGCGCCUAACACAUGCAAGUCGAACGAGAGAGAAGGAGCUUGCUUCUUCGAUCGAGUGGCGAACGGGUGAGUAACGCGUGAGGAACCUGCCUCAAAGAGGGGGACAACAGUUGGAAACGACUGCUAAUACCGCAUAAGCCCACGGGUCGGCAUCGACCUGAGGGAGAAGGAGUAAUCCGCUUUGAGAUGGCCUCGCGUCCGAUUAG